CCAGUCAUAAUCAUUAAUAUUAAAUUCAUCUUGUAAGGCUACCAAGUACGGAUGACGGAUGUACGUCUAAUUGAUUUUUCAAUUUAAUUUAAUAUUAAGUUCGUGCAAACCACAAAAUGUUUUGUUGCGGAGUAUGUAAGGCUGCAUUUACUGGGAUAUACCAAGAAUCUGUAUUCACAACUCCAUGCGGCCAUUUGUUUCAUGCAGAAUGCCUUAGAAUGUGUUUCAACAAGCAGUUUUUGAACCAAGAUGAUGAACUUAAUUGCCCGUUUUGUACAAUACGCGUUGACACAACCAAAAUGAUUAAGUUACAUUUCCAAAUAGAUGCGAAUUGGAAAGAUACCGCUGCUGCUUUAAAAAAACAGGCUAAUACAAGCAUCAUUAAUUUGGAUGAAUCAUUUAUUAACAACUCAAUAAAAUGAUAGAAAAUUGUAUAGAUUUGAACAAUUCAAGCUUUAAUAUCGAUCUGGAAAAUCAGCAGCCAUUCAAGCAUCACGAAUUUGGAUGAAUCGUUUAUGAAAAAUUCUAUAAUGUAUUUAACCUAGUUAUAUUUAUGAAGGUAUUGAUAGGAUAUUAAUUAAAAGAAAUUUGCAACAAUUAUGUCAUAUUGCCAUGUUAUUUUUAUAUUUUAUUUUCAUGAU